AACCUGGCCCUUUUCAGGGCCACAAAAUGAAAUAAUAUUACUAUU
rfam:Oikopleura dioica, whole genome shotgun assembly, reference scaffold set, scaffold scaffold_43